rnacentral:tRNA from 1 species
AGCCCCAUAGUAUAGCAGUCAAGUAUGCGGCCCUUUGGAGGCCGAGACCCAGGUGCGAAUCCUGGUGGGGCUA